GGGUACCGUCAGGCCUAACGUGUAUUAUACGUUAGGAGGUUCUUCCCCUCUGACAGAGCUUUACGACCCAAGAGCCUUCAUCACUCACGCGAUAUUGCUGCGUCAGGCUUUCGCCCAUUGCGCAAAAUUCCCC
rnacentral:rRNA from 1 species